UACGUAGGGGGCAAGCGUUAUCCGGAUUUACUGGGUGUAAAGGGAGCGUAGACGGCACGGCAAGCCAGAUGUGAAAGCCCGGGGCUUAACCCCGGGACUGCAUUUGGAACUGCUGAGCUAGAGUGUCGGAGAGGCAAGUGGAAUUCCUAGUGUAGCGGUGAAAUGCGUAGAUAUUAGGAGGAACACCAGUGGCGAAGGCGGCUUGCUGGACGAUGACUGACGUUGAGGCUCGAAAGCGUGGGGAGCAAACAGG
rnacentral:rRNA from 1 species